rnacentral:rRNA from 1 species
UGGGUGACCUGCCCUCAGCUCUGGGAUAAGCCUGGGAAACUGGGUCUAAUACUGGAUAUUCACUUCUCAUCGCAUGGUGGGUGGUGGAAAGUUUUUUCGGCUGGGGAUGGGCUCGCGGCCUAUCAGCUUGUUGGUGGGGUGAUGGCCUACCAAGGCGACGACGGGUAGCCGGCCUGAGAGGGCGACCGGCCACACUGGGACUGAGACACGGCCCAGACUCCUACGGG